AACGAACGCUGGCGGCAUGCCUAACACAUGCAAGUCGAACGAGACCUUCGGGUCUAGUGCGCACGGGUGCGUAACGCGUGGAAUCUGCCCUUGGGUACGAAUAACCAGUGGGAAACUACUGCUAAUACCGUAUAAUGACUUCGGUCCAAAGAUUUAUCGCCCAGGGAUGAGCCCGCGUAGAUUAGCUUGUUGGUGAGGUAAAGCUCACCAAGGCGACGAUCCUUAGCUGGUCGAGAGGAUGAUCAGCCACACUGGGACUGAGACACGGCCCAGACUCCUAC
rnacentral:rRNA from 1 species